rnacentral:rRNA from 1 species
UACGUAGGGUGCGAGCGUUAAUCGGAAUUACUGGGCGUAAAGCGUGCGUAGGCGGUUCGUCGUGUCCGAUGUGAAAGCCCCGGGCUCAACCUGGGAAUGGCAUUGGAAACUGGCGGACUCGAGUGUGGCAGAGGGGGGUGGAGUUCCGCGUGUAGCAGUGAAAUGCGUAGAGAUGCGGAGGAACACCGAUGGCGAAGGCAGCCCCCUGGGCUAACACUGACGCUCAGGCACGAAAGCGUGGGGAGCAAACAGG